UGGCCGAGCUCCCUUUUUGACCUAGCACACCCCAGGCCCAAACUAAACCCGCCGGCGGCGGAAAAGCCCCCUCCAUUGCCGCAUCCCCGUUUGUCUCCGGCCAUGUCUACGGUCUGCCUCCUCCUCUGCGGCCGCCGCUCCUCUCCAAUCCCUUCCGGAGCUGUGCCUCACCCUUCUCCCCCGCGUUAUCCGCUGCGACCUCAACAUCUUCCACUGCGAGAACCCACUCCGACCGAAUGGAUAUACCGGAAGGUGUCGCCGUGUCGGUGACAGAGCCAGAUGCCGCUGGCCGUGAUCUCCAGCUCCUGCUCCUGCUCCUCAGUCCUCAUCAAGAUGAAGGUGUUGUUUACCUGAUGACCAGGAAGAAAUACAAGCAACCCAAGGCAUGGGUUCUCGCUCUUCACACGAGGAACAAGACACUGCUGGGCGCAUCUGAGUUUGGCACUGAAAAGCCAACCCUGUCCACCUGCCAUGUGAUAAGAGAAGGCUGCUGAGGAUGUUCCUUAAAGCCUGGAAAUGAAAAUUGGUCUCACUUGAGGCUCGUCCGUUGGGUGAGCUCCUUCAAUGUUUCAAGUCUUCAAAGUGUGGGAUUUUCAUGCCCGUUAUAGGAGGCAUACAGAGCAUGCCCAUGGGUGUGCUGACUUCUGAGUUUGUAGUGGAGUGCACUACGUCUGUCACAGGCUCUGAUGAAGUGAGGCUAUAGAGGAAUGCAGGUCAUGUCGGGGGUCAAAAAUCAACAACGUAACGCGUCCUGAAUUUCUGUCAUGAUGAGAUCACAUCUAGACUAUUGUUUGCAAAAGGAAGCUUCCAUCUACUACUACACUGGCGCACAGGUCAAGUCAAGGACGCGUUUGCAGUUGAUCCAUUCAAACAUGAAACCAAAUUUCAGUAGCAUUUCUACGCGAAUGCCUGUCCGUCUCGAUCCGUCCUCAAAUAUUUCUACUGACAGAUUGUGUCUCGCUGUCUUGCUCGCAUGGCGGUUGCCUCCGUGUGGCGGGGAGCAUGGAUUAAGGCCAGAGUCUUUUCUUCUGCACUGCAGAGAGCCGGCGGCGAUGUCGAUGGAGGAGGUAGUUCGCUGCAGCCUACCUACUGUGAGAGCUGCACUUCACCUUCAGGUACCACCUACACCACCACCACCACUGUCACCACUGUAUCAUCAUCCGAUUCAGCCGGAGGAGAAAGGCCUCGUGCUUUCAAUUCGUCCAUGGUUCUAUCCACGGCGCCGGUCGUGGAAGAGAGCGCGGAGGAACUCGAUGUGGGCAAAGCAAUCGAGGAAGACAGGGUGAGGAAGCUCGAGCAUCUCAAGGGCCUAGUCGUGGAAUUCCGCGGCGGUCACAAUCUCGGUGCCUCGGACAAGUGGCUCUCGGAGCUGGGUGUCGGCUGGGUUCUCCACAAAUUCAGAAUCGAUGAAUCUGCAGGGAGCAUGCGUGGGCAGUUGUGUUUUUUAGCAGAGAGUUGGAUCCUGGCUCUACAAGAUAUCAAUGAAUCCGUCUCUAGAUGCUUUGAUGUAUGGCACAGCCAGGACCGAGACGAAGGAACGAGCAGCAAGCCACAUGCUUCUGAGUUUGCACUUCUUGUUGAAACAACAGUGUCGAAGAUGCUCCCUUUCGUUGAUGCCUUAUUGCUGCUGCCACAAGAACCAGUGAUAGGCCGGAGGCACUAGCAGCAGCUGAGAAGCUCCAGUUACUGAUAGACGCGAGUGAUGCUCUUUCCAUGGCCUCAGAACGAAUCCUCCCAUCAUUAUCCUCUUCCUCACCCUGCAUAGAAUCUACUGAUGGUAUGAUGGGAUUAGGGGAGCACCUGUCAACAGAGCUCACCAAGCUGGAUGAGGCCAUAUGGGACACAAUGGUUGACAUCAGGACUGGUACCUUGGCGUGGAUGCAAGACAAUGGCAGUUCAAGCGACAUUCAUAGGGUCACGCAUUCCAUAAUAAGCUACACCAAGGUGCUCUGGGCCAAUUACAGGUCACUGAAUCGAAUUUUGGAUGGCGCAUAUCUCCGUGGUAAAUUUAAGCCUGACAAUCAAAGUGUGAGCCAUCUGACCAACCUGAUUAUGGAGAUGGUCCGUUCGACAGAAGAUCAGCUUGCCAGAAAGUCGCAGUCUUGGUUCCCAGAUGAGAGCCUCUGGUUCCUAUUCUUGAUCAACAAUGCCUACUUCAUGUUGCAGCAGCUUCAAACGAUUUGGUGCUUGGCGGGCUUCCCCAUGCCCAUCCUCACCCGCAGAAUUGACGACUACAUAAAUGGUUACCUCAGUGUGUCUUGGGUACCUGUGUUGAGAUGCUUGCGUGAUCCUGCUACACCUUGUUGCUUCGCUAGAACCUCAUCGCCUCUGACGAAAUUGGAAUCAACAUUCCAUAAGACUUGCGCCACGCAAAAGCUCUGGAAGGUGCCAGACCCUGAUAUGAGGAAAAGGAUGCGGAAAGCCAUAGCCGAGAAAGUCAUCCCAGUCUUUACACAAUUCUUGGAGGAUAACAGCGUCAGCACACCGGGAUUCACUCCCAAGAAGCUAGAAGAGAUGUUGGGAGAGUUAUUCGAAGGCUGAUCUAGUGCACCAUAGAAGAAAAGUUGCCAUUAGUGGAGAAGAGCAGUUAGUAGUUCUGCUUUCGUAUCAUUUUUUUUGGAAUAAAUGUUUGUUCCUUCAAGUUAAACUUCCGAAGCUAUGUGUGAAGCAAAACUAGAACACUACAAGUUUGUUGAUGUUGUACAAUAGUUGGCGUUUUAGAAUGUCCAGCUAGGACCUGCUUUUGAUCCUUCGCCUUGUCCUGACAUACAUACAUCAUAUGGUCUUGUAUAUUUGCAAUGGAUUUGUUUCAUGUCUGUGUGA